CGAAAGUAACAAACUGGUUUUCCAUGCAAACAAAAAUUAAAUAUAUGAUGGCAGCUGCCAACGGGAAAUUUAUCGUCCUAUUUGUUUUCAUCCUGGGAAUAUUAGUAUCUGGUGGCGCUUGUGGGGGAACAGGAAAGACGUAUUCCAACAAUGCCAUUGCAAGGGGAUUUGAUGCGAAAGCUUUCCUCAGAUUCAUUUCUAACGCAGGACAAUUUGUCGGUGGUGUUAUGAUGAAUGUUCCAGGUGUAAAAAUAGUUAUGGCCUGCAUUCCAGAAACCUACUGUUUUUACAGUUACUAUGAUGACCCUGAUCGAAACGUAAAAUGCUCCAUGUAUAUCAUUAAAUGUGUUUGGAAGCAGCUGGCUAACAUAGGGACAUGUUUGUAUGAUUUGGCUGGAGAUACAGCUAUUGAUAUAUAUUAUAAUGGACUAAAUUUUUAUAAUUAUAAUCAUGUUACAAUCAUUUGGGACGUUCUUUCAUGUGCUGGUGUUGAUACAUGGACAAUGAACUAUUUGAAAGAAAUGCUGAAAAAUUAGACAACGCAAAUAACUUCUCAUACCUGCUUUCGUUUGUUCUUUAACGUUUGUCUAAUAUGUCAAUGUUGUCGAAUUCGGUUUUUACUGUACAUAUUGUUUAAUGCGUUUUUUGUAGUUUGGAGGUUGUUGGUGGUAAUAUUUAUUUCAGGAAAUAUUGUAAAAUAUUGAUGAUGACAAAAAGAUGCAAGUAAAGUCACUUUUUGGCCCCUUGAAAUUCUAAAAUCAAAAAGUUAUAUUAAUCUGUCACACAGCAUAUUUCAGACGGUAACAAGACCUUAGUCUGUUAUAUAUAAGUAUUUGUUUUUCAAAAAUAUUAUCUUAUAUAUUUUAUAUAUUUUCUUCAAACAUCUUUCAUUUACUGAAAAGUAAAGUAACUGCCACAAGAGUGUCACUUUGAUAUCUUGUAAAUCAUAUGUAGAUAGGAGCCAGAGUUUAACCAAAGUGACCUUUUGCUGUAAACUGUCUUAUUCAAGAAAGUUAAUGUUGGUUGAAAAUCUUUUUCAGCAAGAGGUUGAUAUGACUGUCUUAAAAGUAGUGGUUUUCUUUGAUUGGUAUUAUGUAUUUUUAUGCCCCACCUAGGGGCAUUAUGUUUUUCGGUCUGUGCGUUCGUUCGUUUGUUCGUCCGUUCGUCCGUCCGUUCGUCCGUCUGUCCCGCUUCAGAUUAAAUUUUUGGUCAAGGUAGUUUUUGAUGAAGUUGAAGUCCAAUCAACUUGAAACUUAGUACACAUGUUCCCUAUAAUAUGAUCUUUCUAAUUUUGAUGCCAAAUUAGAGUUGUGACCACAAUUUCACGGUCCACUGAACACAGAAAAUGAUAGUGCGAGUGGGGCAUCCGUGUACUAUGGACACAUUCUUGUUCUUUAUACGUUGUAAGUACUUUCAUUAUUACAUUAUGUAGUUACUUCAUUAUAUUAUGUGGUUUUUUUGUUAUAUUAUGUGGAUAAUUUCUUAUUUGAAUGCUUUCAUUAUUAUAUUUUGUGGUUUUAUUAUUUAUCAAGUGCUUAUAGUAAAAUUGGUACCGUUA